GACGAACCGUGCAAACGUUAUUCGGAAUCACUGGGCAUAAAGGGCGCGUAGGCGGCUCCAAAAGUCAGGGGUGAAAUCCGGCAGCUUAACUGUCGCAGUGCCUUUGAUACUGUGGAGCUAGAGGGAGGUAGGGGUCUGUGGAACUUCCGGUGGAGCGGUGAAAUGCGUAGAUAUCAGGAGGAACACCGGUGGCGAAGGCGGCUAUCUGGACAGAGUCUGACGCUGAGGCGCGAAAGCUAGGGGAGCAAACAGG
rnacentral:rRNA from 1 species